rnacentral:rRNA from 1 species
GACGAACGCUGGCGGCGUGCUUAACACAUGCAAGUCGAACGGAAAGGCCCAGCUUGCUGGGUACUCGAGUGGCGAACGGGUGAGUAACACGUGGGUGAUCUGCCCCUGACUUUGGGAUAAGCCUGGGAAACUGGGUCUAAUACCGGAUAUGACCUUACAUCGCAUGGUGUUUGGUGGAAAGCUUUUGCGGUUGGGGAUGGGCCCGCGGCCUAUCAGCUUGUUGGUGGGGUAAUGGCCUACCAAGGCGAUGACGGGUAGCCGACCUGAGAGGGUGAUCGGCCACACUGGGACUGAGACACGGCCCAGACUCCUACGGGAGGCAGCAGUGGGGAAUAUUGCACAAUGGGCGCAAGCCUGAUGCAGCGACGCCGCGUGAGGGAUGACGGCCUUCGGGUUGUAAACCUCUUUCACCAGGGACGAAGCGUGAGUGACGGUACCUGGAGAAGAAGCACCGGCCAACUACGUG